rnacentral:lncRNA from 7 species
GUAAUUUAAGAUGGCAUUUAAGCUGCUCUGUCUUUUCUGUCUCUAGAGAUAUCAUCAUAAAAUAAAAGAAUUCAUCAGACCUUUAAGAGCAGUGCAGAAGGUGAAGGUGACACAGCUAAAGCUUCCCGUGGGUCAGAGAAGAUCAACAAGAUAAACUCCUGAGUUCCCUCUAGACCUCAGAUUUUAUGAAGAAAAAAUAUAGUGCAUAUGGCUUCCAAGAGUGACUGAUGUUUUGAUGACGACAUGGAUAACUGCUUUUAUUCUGAAGUGUGGACUUCUGCACAGAAGCCAGAAUCUGUUCAGCUGAAUUAUAAGAACAACUGCAGGUGAACACGCCUUGAAGGGUCCCUUCCAACUCUAAGGAUUCUAUGAUUCUAUGAUUUUAGUACUUCAUUUGUGUGAUCCGAAUGGUAAACAGACUGUGGAUACUAAAUCAAGAUCACAGCCUUUGGAUACAAAUAGUGACGUGAGAUGAAACUUGCUCUUUGAAAAUGCAUCCCUUAAAAUCAAUGUACAAGAGCAAUAUAUUUAUCAGUUACCACUUAUCUGUAUACCAAAUGCAACCAAGUAUUAAAUGUAAAUAAAAUAAAUCUCUUAAAAAUUGAUUUCCCAGAUGAGAGG